CGAGCGAAUGACGAGGAGCUUGCUCCUCUGAUUUAGCGGCGGACGGGUGAGUAACACGUGGGUAACCUGCCUGUAAGACGGGGAUAACUCCGGGAAACCGGAGCUAAUACCGGAUGAUAACGAGAAGCGCCUGCUUCUUUUUUGAAAGUCGGUUUCGGCUGACGCUUACAGAUGGGCCCGCGGCGCAUUAGCUAGUUGGUGAGGUAACGGCUCACCAAGGCGACGAUGCGUAGCCGACCUGAGAGGGUGAUCGGCCACACUGGGACUGAGACACGGCCCAGACUCCUACGGGAGGCAGCAGUAGGGAAUCUUCGGCAAUGGACGAAAGUCUGACCGAGCAACGCCGCGUGAGCGAUGAAGGCCUUCGGGUCGUAAAGCUCUGUUGUCAGAGAAGAACAAGUACCGGAGUAACUGCCGGUACCUUGACGGUACCUGACCAGAAAGCCACGGCUAACUACGUGCCAGCAGCCGCGGUAAUACGUAGGUGGCAAGCGUUAUCCGGAAUUAUUGGGCGUAAAGCGCGCGCAGGCGGUCUUUUAAGUCUGAUGUGAAAGCCCACGGCUCAACCGU
rnacentral:rRNA from 1 species